rnacentral:rRNA from 1 species
CAGCCGCCGCGGUAAUACGUAGGUGGCAAGCGUUAUCCGGAAUUAUUGGGCGUAAAGCGCGCGUAGGCGGUUUUUUAAGUCUGAUGUGAAAGCCCACGGCUCAACCGUGGAGGGUCAUUGGAAACUGGAAAACUUGAGUGCAGAAGAGGAAAGUGGAAUUCCAUGUGUAGCGGGGAAAUGCGCAGAGAUAUGGAGGAACACCAGUGGCGAAGGCGACUUUCUGGUCUGUAACUGACGCUGAUGUGCGAAAGCGUGGGGAUCAAACAGGAUUAGAUACCCUGGUAGUCAACGCCGUAAACGAUGAGUGCUAAGUGUUAGGGGGUUUCCGCCCCUUAGUGCUGCAGCUAACGCAUUAAGCACUCCGCCUGGGGAGUACGACCGCAAGGUUGAAACUUAAAGGAAUUGGCGGG